rnacentral:rRNA from 1 species
CGCCCUUAGAGUUUGAUCAUGGCUCAGGACGAACGCUGGCGGCGCGCCUAACACAUGCAAGUCGAACGGAGGAAGCUUUCGGGUGGAUUAGUGGCGAACGGGUGAGUAACACGUGAAUAACCUACCCUAGAGUGGGGGACAACAUUUGGAAACAGAUGCUAAUACCGCAUAAGACCACGACCGCAUGGCCUGAGGCCAAAGGAGCAAUUCGCUUUGGGACGGAUUCGCGUCCGAUUAGCUAGAUGGUGAGGUAACGGCCCACCAUGGCAACGAUCGGUAGCCGGACUGAGAGGUCGAACGGCCACAUUGGGACUGAGACACGGCCCAGACUCCUACGGGAGGCAGCAGUGGGGAAUAUUGCACAAUGGAGGAAACUCUGAUGCAGCGACGCCGCGUGAGGGAAGAAGGUUUUCGGAUUGUAAACCUCUGUCUUCGAGGACGAUAAUGACGGUACUCGAGGAGGAAGCCACGGCUAACUACGUGCCAGCAGCCGCGGUAAAACGUAGGUGGCAAGCGUUGUCCGGAAUUACUGGGUGUAAAGGGAGCGCAGGCGGAAAUUCAAGUCAGAUGUGAAAACUAUGGGCUCAACCCAUAGACUGCGUCUGAAACUG